rnacentral:lncRNA from 1 species
GCCUCUUGGAGCACAGUCAUGGGCAGAGCUCUCCCGGCUCCACCUCUGCCUCCCAUCAGGGGUGAAUAAGGCGGAAGCUGAGGGGACAGUCAUAGCCAGGACAGGAAUGUCACCCCCAGCUGGCAGACAGCACUCUGAGCAGCCAGGCCUGGGAUCCUCUGACCUGCCCACUACUUCAGGAGGCCAGUGUGCUCACUGCCACCCCACGGUCUGGGGACCCUGGACUCCAAACUUGGACUCUGCCUCCUGCAGGGAGCAGCCACUGUUUCCAGGGACCCUCACAGAAGAGGAGCUAAUUUCACACUUUAGGACUCCAUAGAAGCCAGCUUCCUGGCAGUCUGAAGUGUGCUUCUCACACAUCUUCCACCAGCUUGUUCGUCUGCCUAUAUCUGAGGAUCCUUUAAAGCGAUUGAAACAAAAUUAAGGGCAGAAUGAAUCUUUGGUGAUGAAAGUGAGAAUCUGGGAGAGAUGUGAAAACUGGAAGAGAAACAGGAAGUACCUCCAGGAUUCGCCUAAAUAGAUGCUGCGGUUUCCAUCAAACCACAGGCCACCCCAGUAUCUCAGUGGCUUCUAUAGGUUGUCCUGAAAGAGCCAUGAGGCCAGACACCAAUUCCACCCUCCACCUUUCUGUGUCCGUCCCAGACCAAGGCAGCCCAGGACUGGUAUCCUUCUAAGAAGAGGAAGGCACAUCAGAGGAGAGGCCAUGUGAGGACACCAUGGGAAGGCAGCCACCUGCAAGCCAAGGAGAGGGGCCUCGGGAGAAACCAGCCCUGCUGACACCCUGAGCUCCUUGCAAUUCCAGCCUCCUAGACUGUGAGAAAAUACACUUGUGUUAUUUAAGCCCCCCAGUCUGUGGUUCUUUGCUGUGGCAGCCCUAAGAAUCUAAUACACAUGCCAACCUGUCUAGGCACAGAUGGGCCAUCUUCAGGGAAAGGGUGCAGGGGGAUCUGCAGGCCUGCCGGGGCUGAACCAGGAAGUGGUGCCCUCAGCAGUGGAGGCAGCUUCUCCCAACCCCAAGCCUCCAGCCCCUCCCCUCAUGACAUGCAUGAUCUGAGUUCAGUCUGUUUCCAAGCCCCUUCCUGUGCCUGUGGAGUCAAUGUCACCCCCAGUCUCAGGGUAUCCUUGCACUGAUACGCUCCACUACACCCUCACACCCACCCCGUGGCUUCCUGAACUGCACCCCCAAGUGCACCACUCUGCAUCUGGCUUCUCCAUCAACCACGUGCCCUGAAGUCCCUCUGAGCUGUCCAUGUGGGCAGCCUCCUUUUGAAGCCUGGAGUGGGUGAGUGUUGAGCAAAAGGUGACGGCAGGGGCUAGAGCUCAUUUCAUUCCUGAGUAAGGGAAGCUCUAAGAUUCCUUCUGUACCAUAAGUGAGUGCUGCCCUGCCUGGGAGUGUGC